GGGCAUAUAGCUCAGCAUGGACUUUCAGAGCGGCGGCAUCCUAAGCCGUAGGUCGGGGGUUCAAAUCCCUCUAUGCCCGCCA
rnacentral:tRNA from 1 species